ACGCAAAACACACUCCACUCUUCUCCACUCCGUUCGCAUCUUCUUCUCCAUUUUUCCCCUGAAAUCAAGACUUCUCCAGUUGCCAUUGCAACACCUCUCCACUGAUUAGAUCUCUCUCUCUUUCACUUUCCACCCACACGAGUGCCUAAAGACUCCAAACCCAAACAAUCUAUCACGCAAUCACACUCUCCAGUCUCUAGGAACUUUGUUUCCCGGCUAGACACCCAGCUCCGCCGCGCCACGACCAUGGCGACACCAUCUAAACUCAAACCCAUAACAUGCUCUUCGAUUUAGGAAUUAGCCACUUCUCUUUUGUAAAUCAAAAUCCGACGAAAGUAAACAGGGAAUGGUGUUUGAUCUUGCGAAAUCCUAUAUAUUGAUCUUGCAAAAUCUAAUGCCUGACCUAAGUGCUCAAGAACAGAUGAUGAAUGGAGUGGCUCAGAUAAGAAGGCAAGAGCAUCUUCCACAUUUUCAAGGGGUUCUUCUGACUUUGGUGGGUGGAUUGCCUAGAUUUAAUUAGUUUGUGUCAGAUUACUUUGUGGUUGCUUGUUUAAAGAGUUUCUUUUCUUGGCUCACUUUAGGCCUGUUAAUAAUGUUUGUAAUCUCUAUCUUGCUCUCAUUCAUUUGUUUUAUAUGAGCCGGUUGGUGCUUGUCUAAUCUCUUACUUGGACUACAAAUUAAUUACU